CUAAAUUCUUUGCGCCCCCAUCAGGCCAGAGCAACGCUAAUUCACAUACUAGAACUUCAGAUACAACGGCGGAGAGAAGCUGUUGAAGAUAUAAAGAGAAGAAGAGAAGAGGCACA